GAUGAACGCUGGCGGCGUGCCUAAUACAUGCAAGUCGAGCGAACGGACGAGAAGCUUGCUCCUCUGAGGUUAGCGGCGGACGGGUGAGUAACACGUGGAUAACCUACCUAUAAGACUGGGAUAACUUCGGGAAACCGGAGCUAAUACCGGAUAAUAUUUUGAACCGCAUGGAUCAAAAGUGAAAGACGGUCUUGCUGUCACUUAUAGAUGGAUCCGCGCUGCAUUAGCUAGUUGGUAAGGUAACGGCUUACCAAGGCAACGAUGCAUAGCCGACCUGAGAGGGUGAUCGGCCACACUGGAACUGAGACACGGUCCAGACUCCUACGGGAGGCAGCAGUAGGGAAUCUUCCGCAAUGGGCGAAAGCCUGACGGAGCAACGCCGCGUGAGUGAUGAAGGUCUUCGGAUCGUAAAACUCUGUUAUUAGGGAAGAACAUAUGUGUAAGUAACUGUGCACAUCUUGACGGUACCUAAUCAGUAAGCCACGGCUAACUACGUG
rnacentral:rRNA from 1 species